UCCUCUGUAGCUCAGCUGGUAGAGCGUCGGACUGUUAAUCCGCAGGUCGCUGGUUCGAAUCCAGCCGGAGGAGCCA
rnacentral:tRNA from 1 species